rnacentral:rRNA from 1 species
UACGUAGGUGCCAAGCGUUGUCCGGAUUUAUUGGGCGUAAAGAGCUCGUAGGCGGUUGGGUAAGUCGGGUGUGAAAACUCCAGGCUCAACUUGGAGAUGCCACCCGAUACUGCUCUGACUUGAGUUCGGUAGGGGAGUGGGGAAUUCCUGGUGUAGCGGUGAAAUGCGCAGAUAUCAGGGGGAACACCGGUGGCGAAGGCGCCACUCUGGGCCGAAACUGACGCUGAAGCGCGAAAGCUAGGGGAGCGAACGGG